GGCAAUGAAGAUGGUCCAGGUUGUUGA
rnacentral:sRNA from 1 species